AGCUUUCAUUCGUAAAGUGUAUGCAAUUCUUUUUUGCCAAUUGCUUGUGUCAGUUGGAAUUGUUUGUCUCUUUUUACUUGUGAAGCCAAUAAAUACCUAUGUAAAAUCAAAUGUUAUAAUGUUUUGGGCAGCAUGGAUCUUAACAAUAGUUUUGAUGAUUGCACUCAUUUGUUGCGAAAGUGUGAGGAGAACUUUUCCCAUGAACUUCAUAAUGUUAUCAUUAUUUACAUUAUGUGAAAGUUAUCUUAUUGGUGUUGUUUCUGC
rnacentral:lncRNA from 1 species